ensembl:lncRNA
UUAAAACCAAUGGAAGAUGGACAAGAAAAGUUCAAAGUCAUCAGGUGCUCAGUUUAGAAAAAAGAGAAAAGAAGAGGAAGAGAAACGAACAAAAGAUACAGAUAAGCAGAUGUGUGAUUGGAUAAUGGCAGGUCAUCCUGAAACAAUCAGAAUCAGAAUACUUUAUUAAUCCCUAAGGAAAUAAUGUGGGUUACAGUUGCCCCAAGAAGAAAUGGUAAAAAUAGUAACAGUAACAGACUAAACUCCAAACAAUACAUUAUGUUACAGAUUUUAAUAUUAAUUAGUCAGUGUCAAUUGUUGAUUUGUCCUGUUCUCAUUGUAUGACGAAUUAUGAUGGCUGUUUGGUAGCCGUUUGCAUACUAUGCAUACUCUCUCUCUCUCUCUCUCUCUCUUCAUAUGUGUGUGUGGACAACAGUUUUAUGUUAAUGUACAAUCCUUAACAUGUUUUGUGUGUGUGUGUGGGGAGGGGGGGCGCCAGAGGGAGUGUUCGCCCAGGGCGCCAAACAGGCUAGGACCGCCACUGCCUGCUAGAUUGUUCAGAAGGUUGUUAUCAUCCAUCCAGAUGGAGGAUCACUGACAGGAGCGUGGGAAGACUCCAGAAUCCACUCUGGCUGGAAUCCGGUGGAUACAGCAGUGUUACAGAUGGAGGAUCACUGACAGGAGCGUGGGAAGACUCCAGAAUCCACUCUGGCUGGAAUCCGGUGGAUACAGCAGUGUUACAGAACAGUUCUCCACAGUCACUGUCCACAUGGGUCAGUGGGACCAAGCAGCACUCUGCUAAUGUGUGGACUCUGACCAGCAACAUCCAGCAAGACCCAGACAGCGUUUUCUAUCUCCCAGCUGGAGUUUUUUGUUUGUCUGUGACUGGAGAGUCAGAUUUUUGUUGAGGCUGGAGGAACAGCCUCACACUGGCAGAGGUAAGUCAGUUUGCAGAGAUCCCUCCCUCCAAGCGGAAGCGAAUGGAUGGAUGGAUGGACACAGUAAUGUGAAGUAUGCUUAUAUCUAGUAUAACUGAACCAACGUGGUGCUCUUCAUUUAUGGAGGCUGUUUGAGUCUGAAUGUUGGAUGUUGUGUAUCUCGUGUUCUCUGGGCUUUGUUGUCCUCAGUCUCUUUGCAGGAUCAGAAAACAAAACCAGGAGGCGCGUAAAUGUUUCUUCUCCAAUUGGAUGAUGAUAAGACCAUGACACGGGAUGCCACCUUUAGUCUUCUGAUGAAGCAAAGCUCAGGAAGAAGUGUGAUUAAAUGGUAUCCACAUGUGUGCUGCUGAGGAGGAUGUACAGGGGUACCUGCAGCCAAAUCCAAGCCUCUUCAGCAACAGAUGGUGACGGUGUGGAGAGACGGUGGUGUUUCCUCAGAAGAACUAGCAGAGUCACAAAGGGCACCAGUCCAUCUCACCGCCUUGACUUGCUGACUGAUGCUUGUCUGCACCGCACAUUCCCCCCCCUCUGUCCCCUUCUGGCUGCCUCUGCCUCAAUUUUAUCCCACAACUUAGACAUUCACAUUACUCACACUCUCAUUACACAUACAUAUAGGAUCUUGGGGUGGGCACGCCACACAGAAUCCAAAUUACCAUCAGGGUGUACACCUCACCCCCUGGCGCGUUGCCCACCUCUCAAUUUUAAAUACACGUAGACAUUGAGGGCUAGCAGGAGGGGCUAUGCGCCUACCUGCUGCUCUGGCAGGUAGCUCCAUGCCCUCCUGGGUUUUAAAUGCACCUUAGAACACACAUACAUCAACACUACAUAUGAGC